GCCUACGGGGGGCAGCAGUAGGGAAUCUUCCACAAUGGGCGAAAGCCUGAUGGAGCAACGCCGCGUGGGUGAAGAAGGUCUUCGGAUCGUAAAACCCUGUUGUUAGAGAAGAAAGUGCGUGAGAGUAACUGUUCACGUUUCGACGGUAUCUAACCAGAAAGCCACGGCUAACUACGUGCCAGCAGCCGCGGUAAUACGUAGGUGGCAAGCGUUAUCCGGAUUUAUUGGGCGUAAAGGGAACGCAGGCGGUCUUUUAAGUCUGAUGUAAAAGCCUUCGGCUUAACCGGAGUAGUGCAUUGGAAACU
rnacentral:rRNA from 1 species